CGGGUGAGUAACGCGUGAGGAACCUGCCUCAAAGAGGGGGACAACAGUUGGAAACGACUGCUAAUACCGCAUAAGCCCACAGCUCGGCAUCGAGCAGAGGGAAAAGGAGUGAUCCGCUUUGAGAUGGCCUCGCGUCCGAUUAGCUAGUUGGUGAGGUAACGGCCCACCAAGGCGACGAUCGGUAGCCGGACUGAGAGGUUGAACGGCCACAUUGGGACUGAGACACGGCCCAG
rnacentral:rRNA from 1 species